rnacentral:lncRNA from 1 species
GCCACCCUCGUAUGUACCCACCACGGCCCAGUCUGCCACCUUCCUCCAGGCAGAGCCUCCCACAGCUGCUGGAGCCUCCCCUAGGAGCUCCACUGGGGAGAAGCAGAGGUCCUCUCCUACCCCUUAGCCCUGGGGUCUGGAAUUCAACCCUCCCCCACUCUGUUCCCAGUUGCCCUCUGUUUGACAAGAGGAGCUUGGAAACCACCUCGAUCCAGUCCUCAAACUCCCCUUCCCCUGUGCCGCUCUGAAUUCCAGGCUAUCCCCACGAUAUAGCCAAAGCACCCUGGCUUGCUUUGAAAGUGUCUGGGGAGUUUUUGAUCCCCUGAAAAAAAAAGGCAUUUAUUAUCAGAGACUGUUUGUACCAUAUUUUAGUGUCCUCAAGAGACAAAGAGAAUUCUCUCUGCAGUUGAGUAAGCUUCAAAAUAGAAAAUCGGAGGGUGGGGUAGGUGACGGCCAAAAAGCAAUCAUUUAUCAACCAGCGGGGAAGCAGGGACCGUAAACCUCUUUGGUGGCUGCAGGUUUCAUCACAGCCUGACUUAUGCACCUGACUCUGGAGAGGAGGUGAGAAUGGGGUGUGCAGAAGUCAGUGGGUCCCGCAGUCUUCCCUCCUUCAGCGUUGGUGGCCACAGUCUGUCUGUGGUCACUUGCCCCCACAGCCCCCUGCUCUGCCUUCCAUUUAUCGAGACCUUUCCCUUGCAUUUGCGGAGGGGGAAGAAGCAGAGGUUAGGUUGCUGACAUUCUGCACACCCCACAACUCCCCAGAGAAAUCCUGGGGCUGAUCAGUAGAAUCCAGCCACCUUUCACUGGCAGAAGGCACAGUGUUUUUCUCCCUGGAGGUUUUUAACCUGUUACUUCAUGUAAGCCUCCUAUUGUCAAAUAGAGAGAAACUGAGGGGCUUUGGAAGCAAACAGACUUGGGAAAUUCUUGGCAAAUUCUUAACUCUAUCUCUUUGUGGGUGACCUGGGAUAUGUUCCCGGUGUCCUCAGCCUCUGAGUGCUCUUGGAAGAUUAAAUGGGAUAAACCAUGUGGAGUGACCAGUGCGAGGCCCAGCAUGUUCUAGAAGCUCAAAGGAAUGGCUACCACAAGUCAAGCCUAUUCUAGAUACCGAGGAAGUUGUCCACAGAGGGAAAAAAUUAUACCAAGAAGCAAGAGAGCCUGUUUUCUGACCCCCUCUCAGUCACUUGGUAAUUAUUAUUCCUCAAUCUUCACAUCUGAGGAUAUAACUAUUUUACCUGACUGAAGACAGAAGGGGUAUACCAGAUGGUUUCACCAAGAUCCAUCAAAUUCUAGUCAAAGAUUCUUCCAUUUUAAUUAAGCCCAUUGCUUCCUGUUUGAUCUUCUAAGGGCAGAGAAUAACAAUGUAAGCUCUGACCAUUUAAAAAAAUCAUCAUUCCUGCUCUAAUCAUCUCAAACCAUUCAUUCACUGGUCAUCCCGGGAAGGUCAACAGCAAUCUCCGAAGAGUCUGGUACCACGUCCUCCUCACAAGUCACUGCUAUAAGACUGACACUUAUCAAAAUGUCUGCCCAUCUCCACAGAGACGCUCCUAAUGUGCCUUGUUUCUGCUUUAUGACAAUGACCUUGGUUACAGCCAGUUGGUCCAGGAAUAGGCACCUGACCCAGUCUGGGCCAAUCUGGCCCCCUCUCUUGGGAAUGGUGACCAAAAGAGUCUGUCUCAGCAGAAACUGGAAAUGUAACAUAAACAGUCAUAAGCCAGGGGCCUGCUGGCAGUGCCAUGGGGGCUAAAGAACAGAAAAGGCUAGUCUACAAAGAAAGAAGAGAAUGAAAUUGAUGUCCAAGAAAACUGGAUUCAAGACACCAGAGAGAAAAUGAGCCAACCCAUUCACACUUCCAGGCCCUUUCUGAGGCAUGACAAUGUGGCAGAAUGUAUUUUCCAAUAUUUUCCAUCCCAUACGCUCUUCCAGAACCUUGCCACUGCAUCAAAAGAUGGUGUCUAUAUCCCUUCCGCCUGAAACGGUGAGCCUUUGUGACUGCUCACACUUCUAGGAUGUGGCAGAAGUGACGCUGUGUGAUUGCUGAGGCUAGAUCAUAAAAGGCAACACAGCUUGCACACAGCUCUAUCUCUUUGGACACUCAUCCUUGGAAUGGCAGCCACCAUGCUCUGAGGAAGCACAGGUCACAUGGAGCGCCCCACUUGGAGACAAAUGGAGGCCCCCCAGCCCUCAGUGCUGGCUGAGCAACCAGCAGACAGCCAGCACCAACCUGCCACCAGGUGAGUGUGCCAUCUUGAAAGCAGAUCCUCCAGUCCCAGUGAAACCAGCCCAGGUAACACCACAUGAAGCAGAGGUGAGACUUCCCCACUGAGCUCCAUGUAAAUUGCAGAUUCAGGAGCAAUAUAUGAUUGUCACUUAAAACUGCUAAAUUUGAGGUUGGUUUGUGAAGCAGCAAUAAAUCACUAGAACAAUGAUGUCUCUGUCUUCAAUUUACAAAAGACAGCCCUAUAUCCUUAGAGCAAAGCCCCCAUUCUGGCUUAAGCUAGUUCACUUGGGUUUAUUUGACCUACAACUAAAGAAUGAAAGCUAUUGAAGGCUUCUUUUCCCACUUUAAAUAGGAGUGAGAGGAGGAAAAGGAAAUUAAGGCUCUCUUUCUAAUCUGCAGCCCACCACAUGCGUUCAGGUACUCAGAAGGCUGGAAACUUUUCAAAGAAGAAGAGGGUGAGUUUCUCUGACCAUAUUAGCCAUGAGCAGCCACAGUGAAAGAAUUAAUGAAUUAGUUGCCUUUGCUUAUCUUUGCCCUGGACUUCAGACCUCCUUCAGGAGCAAUGGAGGGAUCCAAAAGCCAACACUGGAAGAUGUGGAUGGUGCUUCCAGCUCAAGGACGUGGCCUCCAGCAAGUCCCUGAACAUCUUUAAGCCCUCACCUGUCAAACAGGGUUGGUGAUUACUUUUUUUUUUUUUUUUUGAGAUGGAGUCUCACUCUGCCUCCUAGGCUGGAGUGUGGUGGUGUGAUCCAGGCUCACUGCAACCUCCACCUCCCAGGUUCAAGCAAUUCUCCUGCUUCAGCACCACCCCCACCACCCCCACCCACCCCACCAAGCAGCUGGGAUUACAGGCAUGUGCUACCACGCCUGGCUAACUUUUAUAUUUUUUUAAGUAGAAACGGGUUUUUGCCAUGUUGGCCAGGCUGGUCUUGAACUCCUGACCUCAAGCAAUCCACCCACCUUGGCCUCCCAAAGUGCUGGGAUUAUAGGCAUGAGCCACCACGCCUAGCCAAUGAUCACAUUUUCCUACCUAACUCCCUGGGCUGCUGGGAUAGCAGAUGAGAAUGGGUGAGAGGUUCUUUGGAAAGUGAAGGUGGUGCUGUCCAGCAGCUAUGUCAGACUGCUAUGGUCUGAGUGUUUGUGUCCCACUACCCUGAGACAGAUAUGUUGAAAUCCCAAGCCGCAAUGUGAUGGUAUUCACCUUUGGGAAGUGAUUAGGUCAUGAGGGCUCUGCUUCAUGGGGUUAGUGCCCUUAUGAAAGAGGCCCAAGCGGGCCGGGCGCGGUGGCUCAUGCCUAUAAUUGCAGCACUUUGGGAGGCCAAGGCGGGCGGAUCACCUGAGGUCAGAAGUUUGAGACCAGCCUAACCGACAUGGAGAAACAACGUCUCUACUAAAAAUACAAAAUUAGCCGGGCGUGGUGGCGCAUGCCUGUAAUCCUAGCUACUCGGGAGGCUGAGGCAGGAGAAUCACUUGAACCCAGGUGGCACAGGUUGCGGCGAGCCGAGAUUCCACCAUUGCACUCCAGCCAGGGCAACAAGAGUGAAACUCUGUCUCAAAAAGAAAGAAAAAGAAAAAGAAAGAGGCCCAAGAGAGCUCAUUCACUCCUUUCAUCACAUGAGGACACAGCAAAAUGAUGGCUGUCUAUGAACCAGGAAGCAGGUCCUCACCAGACACCGGAUCUGCUGAUGUCUUGACAUUGGGCUUCCCAGCCUCCAGCACUGUGAGAAAUAAAUGUCUGAUGUUUAGAAGCCACCCAGUUUAUGGUAUUUUGUUAUAGUGGCCCGAAUGGUCUAAGACAGGCACCCAGUAGAAGGCAGCCCCUGUGUGUGGGUAGGUUCCACACAAAGGCAAGCCUAGCCCCAAGGUCGCCACCAACAAACCCCAGAGCCAUUUUUCCAUGGGGUCUGAAAACUGCACCAUUAGAUGCUGCUUAGUUUAGGACUUUAUAUUGGGUUGAAU